GGGAUCGUAGCUCAAACAGGAGAGCGCCUCGAUGGCAUCGAGGAGGUUGCCGGUGCGAUUCCGGCCGAUUCCA
rnacentral:tRNA from 1 species